rnacentral:sRNA from 1 species
GAGCGCCAGAUGGCUCCGGAGACCGG